rnacentral:rRNA from 1 species
GACGUAGGGGGCGAGCGUUGUCCGGAUUCAUUGGGCGUAAAGCGCGCGCAGGCGGCCCGGUAAGUCGGAUGUGAAAUCCCGUGGCUCAACCGCGGAACUGCAUUCGAUACUGUCGGGCUAGAGGCAGGUAGGGGAGAUCGGAAUUCCUGGUGUAGCGGUGAAAUGCGCAGAUAUCAGGAGGAACACCGGUGGCGAAGGCGGAUCUCUGGGCCUGUCCUGACGCUCAGGCGCGAAAGCUAGGGGAGCGAACAGG